rnacentral:lncRNA from 10 species
CUUGGCUGGAUUUAUUACAUUCUCCUAUGAGCUGUCUUUCCCCCGACAGUUAUUUAAUUCCUUUCUCAAUAACCAAGUUCCCUGAGUGGAGCCCCAGAAAUCCAUGGGGAGAAUGAAUCUAUUCCUGUCUUUAAGGAACUUAGAUGAGGCAAGGCGGAGAAUAAAUAACUAAAAUGGCUGAAGGAAGACAAGGUAUAAUGGAAAGAAUACAAAUCCUGAAGUCAGAAAAGCUGUUUCCGAUACCAGUGCUGGCUAAGUGAUACAGGAAGCUGAGACAAGUUUCUUAGAAGGAAGGAGGUCAACACCAUGACAGUGCUGUACCCCAAAUCACCUCACUAUCCUGGUAUUUAAUUAAUGUCUGGUGAAUGUCAGCCCUUCCUGGCAUCCAGUCCACUGCCUGAGAAUUGAGGACAUCAUGUUCUCCCCUGACAAGGAGCAGCCAGCCCCAGCACGUCUACCACUUCUUUCAGAAGGCCUGACAGGCACUUACUCGUGCAGACCCACGCUGCCAGACUAGUGCAUCCCUGGUGGUCAUUCAAAGUAGGACCUCUUUGGGGAAUGUGUAUUUAUUAUAAAGCCAAGACUUCUACCCUAUGAAACUCAUUAUUAUUUUGUUGUUGUUGUUACUUAGCAAAUGUUGUUGAGGACAUAGUUCACUACUUUAUCCUGUCUCUGGUAAAAAGAAACGUAAGAGAAAUUCUUCUCUGGUCUUAGUCCCAGGAUUAAGUAUGCUAAACUGUUUUUCACUUAUGGAUACUAUUAUUGUUUUUGCCUUAACUGCUCAGAAAUUAAAUGUGUACCCCAUCUCUAGGAAAUGUGCACACAUUUUAUUCAUUAACCUUAUCCAAGUUUUGAACUUAUUUCUCUGUUAUUAUUUUCUUUUUGUCCUCAUUUCCUCAAUUGCUUUUUUAAAUACAGAUUUUAUUUUUUUAGAGUACUUUUAGGUUCACAGCAAAUUUGAGCAGAAAGUACAGUUCCCAUAUUCUCCUCUUCCCUGCCCCCAGCCACACUGUCUCUCCCGCUAUUAAUAUCACACACCAGAAUGAUAUUAUACAUUUGUCACAUUCCAUGAACCUACAUUGAUACAUCCUUUUCAUCCCAAAUCCAUCAUUUACAUUAGGGUUGACUCUUGGUGUUAUAUGCUCUAUGGGUUUUGAUAUGUGUAUAAUCACUUGUAUCUACCAUUAUAGUAUCAUACAGAGUAGCUCACUGACCAAAAAAUCAUCUGUGCUCUGCCCAUUCAUUCCUCCCAUCUCCCAAAUCUCUGGCAGCCACUGAUCUUUUUACUGUCUCCGGAGUUUUGUCUGUUCCAGAAUGUCAUACAGUUGUAGUCACACAGUAUGUAGCAUUUUCAGAUUGAUCUUACACUUAGUAAUAUGCAUUUAAGGUUCUUCUAUGGUUUGAUAGUUUAUUUCUUUUUAACACUGAAUAAUAUUCCACUGUCUGGAUACACCAGUUUAUUUAUACAUUCAC